GCUUGUCUCAAAGAUUAAGCCAUGCAUGUCUAAGUAUAAGUAUUAUACAGCGAAACUGCGAAUGGCUCAUUAAAACAGUUAUAGUUUACAUGAUAAUCGAAUUUACAUGGAUAACCGUGGUAAUUCUAGAGCUAAUACAUGCUGGCGUGCCCGACUUUUGCGGAAGGGCGGUAUUUAUUAGAUAACAAGCCAAUAUUCCUCCGGGUCUAUUGUGGUGAUUCAUAAUAACUCGCGGAUCGGUUUACCGAUGCAUCAUUCAAGUUUCUGCCCUAUCAGCUUUGGAUGGUAGGGUAUUGGCCUACCAUGGCUUUAACGGGUAACGGAGAAUUAGGGUUCGAUUCCGGAGAGGGAGCCUGAGAAAUGGCUACCACAUCCAAGGAAGGCAGCAGGUU
rnacentral:rRNA from 1 species